UGCCCCUGGUAAUAGGCAAAGAGACACCUUGUUGGUGGUGUUCUUUUAUAUAUAUAGAGAGAGGCACAAAGUCGAUAGCAGUCCUUUGUUCAUCCCAACUUAGUACUUGGCUUGGUGUCCAAAGCUGUUUUAUGCCUAGAGCACAUAA